AAUAAUUCAAGUCCGUACAGGAUCGGACUUGAGUAAUAAUUUUUGAGCCCAUAUUAUGACAAACGCUUUUUGCUUCGAUCCUAAAUUAUUUAAAGCUCGUCAAAAUCGAUCAGUUUAAUAUCGAAUAGCCUAUUUUAAAAAACAGCUCUAAAUCUAAGUGAGGCUAAUAAUGAGAGGUGCUAUCUCCAAUCCUCUACAACUACACAUUAAUCAUGUCCUCUUUUAGUAAAUUACUAAUACCAAAACUUCAUAACAGAUAGAAAAAAUAUAUUGAAGGUAAGAUAGAUAGAAAAGAUCAAGAGAGCUUGAAGAAAAUG
rnacentral:lncRNA from 1 species